rnacentral:rRNA from 1 species
GAUGAACGCUGGCGGUAUGCUUUACACAUGCAAGUCGUACGAGAGUUUUUAACUCAAGUGGCGGACGGGUGAGUAACACGUAAGAAUUUACCUUUAGGAGGGGGAUAACAACUGGAAACGGUUGCUAAUACCCCAUAUGCUUUCGAGUGAAAUGGAUUUUUCCGCCUAGAGAGAAGCUUGCGGCUGAUUAGCUUGUUGGUGAGGUAAUGGCUCACCAAGGCGACGAUCAGUAUCUGGUUUGAGAGGACGAUCAGACACACUGGAACUGAGACACGGUCCAGACUCCUACGGGAGGCAGCAGUGGGGAAUUUUCCGCAAUGGGCGAAAGCCUGACGGAGCAAUACCGCGUGAGGGAUGACGGCCUAUGGGUUGUAAACCUCUUUUUUCAGGGAGGAAUCAAUGACGUGUACCUGAAGAAUAAGCAUUGGCUAACUCCGUGCCAGCAGCCGCGGUAAGACGGAGGAUGCAAGUGUUAUCCGGAAUCACUGGGCGUAAAGCGU